UACGUAGGGAGCAAGCGUUGUCCGGAAUCAUUGGGCGUAAAGCGCGCGUAGGCGGCCCGGUAAGUCCGCUGUGAAAGUCGGGGGCUCAACCCUCGAAUGCCGGUGGAUACUGUCGGGCUAGAGUGCGGAAGAGGCGAGUGGAAUUCCUGGUGUAGCGGUGAAAUGCGCAGAUAUCAGGAGGAACACCGAUUGCGAAGGCAGCUCGCUGGGACGUAACUGACGCUGAGACGCGAAAGCGUGGGGAGCAAACAGG
rnacentral:rRNA from 1 species